GUGAUAUGGCGUAGUGGUAGAGCGACUGCCUGCCACGCAGAAGGUUCCAGCUUCGAUUCCCGGUGGGUCACU